ACUUUUUUAAUAUAGCUAAUAUAGAUGACUUCCAAUCAUCCAACCCUAGUAAAACCUAGGAAAAAGUA